rnacentral:rRNA from 1 species
GACGUAGGGGACGAGCGUUGUCCGGAUUCAUUGGGCGUAAAGCGCGCGUAGGCGGUUUGUCGCGUCUGCUGUGAAAACUCGAGGCUCAACCUCGGGCUUGCAGUGGGUACGGGCAGACUAGAGUGCGGUAGGGGUGACUGGAAUUCCUGGUGUAGCGGUGGAAUGCGCAGAUAUCAGGAGGAACACCGAUGGCGAAGGCAGGUCACUGGGCCGCAACUGACGCUGAGGAGCGAAAGCAUGGGGAGCGAACAGG